UUUGUUAAAAGUUUAGUUUUGACUGUAAAUCUGCUCAUUCCCCAACCAAAACUUUGUUUAAAAAGAAAAGAAAAACAACAACAACAAACAAAAAACCCAGAGAUAUCCAAGCAUUUGAUUUCUACUUCAUUUCUUCAGUUUACCAGAAGGUGGCGCUGUAAGUCAUUGGCAGAAGAGCACAAGAAGGAAAAUGCGAACAGCCAAAAGUGUUGUUUAUGCUUUAAGGCUGGAGAAUUUCCAAUGGCUGCUUCCCUGUGCAAGCUAGGACCUUAACUUUGCCAUCCUCUUACUUGGUGCAAUUACCCUGCAGCAGUCAUGAUAAAGCCUGUCUUCUCGAACCCUGACAGACUUUCAAACAAUAAUCCAGGACUCACAAGACCAUGAUUCAUCUCUUAUCUGUGCUCGGGCAAGAAACUGAAAGAUGUGGAUUCAUACAACCUUUCAAGUGGAUUCAUGCAACUUUUUCAAGGAAAUUUAAUUUUCCAUGACUGCUGCCAAAUCCAAUUUUGAGUUUUACAUGAAACACUAGAAAAUAGUCGUCUGGUCAGAGGUCAUAUUUCUAAUUCAUUGAUUCGUUAAUGCAACUUUACCUGUUUGUAACCUCGUCUUCUUUAUUGUAAUCUUUAAGAUGCUAAAUUGCCAAAAUAAAACUACAUUUUAAAAAACAUAAAGUUGAAAAUGUCUUUGUUUUGUCUUCUUC